rnacentral:rRNA from 1 species
CUACCUGUCAUUUGAGAACAAAUUGGACGCAGUAACUACGCGUCCAUUGAUAGUAUCAGAAGAGGAAGGGACGGCUAACUCUGUGC